rnacentral:ncRNA from 2 species
CGCUCAUCCAGAGGGGCAGAGGGAUACGGCCCGUUGAAGCCCCGGCAACCCUCCAGCCGGUCCUGCCGCGCAAGCGGCGGCUCGCCUCCGUGCACCGCACGGGACCGAGGCCACCGGCUCGGGAAGGUGCCAAUUCCGUCUCGUGGCGAAACGCGUCGCGAGGAAGAUGAGGA